rnacentral:sRNA from 1 species
UAAGAUGUGAAUUCGGGUCAGUAUUUGUUACUGCAGACAUGGUUUUGAGAGAGAAUCAAGAGACUGUCUCCAGCAAUCACGCACGCACAGACACUUGGGAAAUAGUUCCUUGAAUUCCCUGCUCACUGCCCCAGAGGAAGCUGGCAGGAUCUGACCUGAAGUGGUUCUAUAAUGUCCUUGACAUUCCUCACUCCUGUCCUUCAGCUCUGCUGCAAGAUGACAUCACUCAAGCCAUACAAUGUGCGAAGAGAAGUGUGAGGGAUCCCCAAGGCAUUCGAGCAUGGGUGGCAUGGCAAAGACACUGUCAAAACCGAGAUCUAUCCGGGUAUAUUCGGAACUGCGGAGUCUGACCGCAGUGCACUUCUACUCAGCUCACUCUGUCUCUUUCUCACUGUGGGAGUAGCUAUGGGAAAGGUCACACUUCCUUGCUUUCCCCUCAAACCAACAGGGCUUUCACUUCUCAGUCUCCCAACACACUGCACACUGCUCCCAGCAUCCCGCACAGUCUCACCACACACAUCUCUGCACAUCAGGAAGUAAUGCACAGUAGGCUCCAUCGGGAUCCAUCUUCAUCAGCCCUGUGCCGGAUACAAACAGCACAUAUUUACAGGAGACGAGUUGAUCUUGGGGAAUGGCAGUUGUGUGAGUGCCAGGGCUUUGUAUAGGCUCAGCACCCAGUUAGAACAGCCUCUGUGGUGGACCUGGAGGGCUUUUGAGGGCCCAGGACU